rnacentral:rRNA from 1 species
UACGUAGGGGGCAAGCGUUGUCCGGAAUUAUUGGGCGUAAAGAGCGUGUAGGCGGUCCGGUAAGUCGGCUGUGAAAGUCCAGGGCUCAACCCUGGGAUGCCGGUCGAUACUGCCGGACUAGAGUUCGGAAGAGGCGAGUGGAAUUCCCGGUGUAGCGGUGAAAUGCGCAGAUAUCGUAAGGAAGACCAGUGGCGAAGGCGGGUCUCUGGACAGUUCCUGACGCUGAGGCACGAAGGUCAGGGGAGCAAACGGG